rnacentral:rRNA from 1 species
AUUGAACGCUGGCGGCAUGCCUUACACAUGCAAGUCGAACGGUAACAGGUCUUCGGAUGCUGACGAGUGGCGAACGGGUGAGUAAUACAUCGGAACGUGCCCGAGAGUGGGGGAUAACGAGGCGAAAGCUUUGCUAAUACCGCAUACGAUCUCAGGAUGAGAGCAGGGGACCGCAAGGCCUUGCGCUCACGGAGCGGCCGAUGGCAGAUUAGGUAGUUGGUGGGAUAAAAGAUUACCAAGCCGACGAUCUGUAGCUGGGCUGAGAGGACGACCGGCCACACGGGGACUGAGCAACGGCCCAGACUCCUAGGGGAGGCAGCAGUGGGGAACGUUGGACAAUGGGCGCAAGCCUGAUCCAGCCAUGCCGCGUGCAGGAUGAAGGCCUUCGGGUUGUAAACUGCUUUUGUACGGAACGAAAAGACUCUGGUUAAUACCUGGGGUCCAUGACGGUACCGUAAGAAUAAGCACCGGCUAACUACGUGCCAGCAGCCGCGGUAAUAC